GGGGUCGUUACGGAUUCGACAGGCAUUAUGAGGUAUAUUCUGCGACUCAUCGGCAGAUGUAAAAUGCCAGUUAAAUAUAACUGCAAAAAAUACAAAUUCUUACGCUCUAGCUGCCUAAAAAACAGCUGACGUGACUUUCUUAAGAUUGCUUGUGUCUUAACGAAAGUCUUAAAAUAGCAAGCUACGAUUAAUUAGUUUCUAGAUAAUUAAUAAGAGAUUUAUAGAAUCGCAUGAUAUUGAUUUGAGUUAUGUAUCGAUAGCCAUGUUAAAUAAAGACAUAACCUAUAGUUGUAGACGAAUAUAUUAGCAGAUGUUUGGACGUGGGUUCGACUCCCACCGGCUCCAUAA
rfam:Streptococcus urinalis 2285-97 final_molecule, whole genome shotgun sequence.